AUGGCCGCGAUGGGUGGGGACCAAAGGCCGAUGAUGGAGGGUGCGGCGGAGGACAAGUUCCCGGACGGGUUACGAGUCCUCGCCGUGGACGACGACUGCGUCUGCCUCAAGGUGCUAGACAACCUCUUGCACGGCUGCAAAUACGACCCAACGACUGUGACGGAUGCCAAGACGGCGGUGAAGAUUCUCAGGUCGGGGAAGGAGAAGUUCGAUGUGGUCAUCACCGACGUGCGCAUGCAGGACAUGGACAGCUUCAAGCUCCUCGAGCUCAUCCGCCUCGAGAUGGAUCUGCCCGUCAUCAUGCUAUCUGAAGAUUGCGACAAGAAGGCUGUGACGGUGGGGAUAAAUCAUGGGGCGUGUGACUAUUUGGUGAAGCCAGUGCAUACCAACGAGCUAAAAAAUAUAUGGCAGCAUGUUGAAAGAAAGAGAAAAUCAGAAGCAAUAAGGCACAUCAGCGGUGAUGAUGAUGACGAUCAGAGAGCACAGCUUGGGACUGCUGGCAAGAGCAAUGAUGGAGCUAAUACUGAUGAGAACAAACAGAACACACUGGCAUCCACUACCCAGAAGAAGCCAAAAGUGGGAUGGACAAUUGAGCUGCAUACAAAGUUUAUGGAAGCUAUCAACCAGAUCGGCCUUUAUAGGGCUACUCCAAAAAAGAUUCUGGAGAUGAUGAAUGUCGAUUUCCUCACUAGACAAAAUGUAUCGAGUCAUCUACAGGUUUAUUUUCGACCCUCGUUCUUUAUUUUUCACAUGUUUGUGUUCCAUUUAUUCAUACUCUAA
rnacentral:rRNA from 1 species